CACGUAGGCGGUCUGUUAUGUCGGAUGUGAAAGCCCUUGGCUCAACUGAGGAAGUGCAUCCGAAACUGGCAGGCUAGAGUACGUAAGAGGGUCGCGGAAUUCCCGGUGUAGAGGUGAAAUUCGUAGAUAUCGGGAGGAACACCGGUGGCGAAGGCGGCGACCUGGGACGAUACUGACGCUGAGGUGCGAAAGCGUGGGGAGCAAACA
rnacentral:rRNA from 1 species